UAGGACUGGAGAUAGAGUUUUCCAUUCCAAGACCUAUUUCCAGGUAAUCCAAACCUUCGUUUCAGGACAGGAUUUUCCAUGCUUGUAACAAUUUAAAAAAAAAUAGAUUUUUUUUUUUUCCUUCCUGAAGGGUUUUUUGAAUUACUGGAACAUAUAUAACUUCGACUUAAACAUCAUGUAACACGCUAACUCUGGAAAAGCUGAAAAUCCAAAUCCUGAGUUAGAGGAAGCGUGCACUGGACCCAAGAAAGAGCUUCCUGGGCUUCAUCGAGGUGGAACCAUCAGUUCCAGUGGGAGCCACCGGUGCUAUAUGCAGUAACGCACCUCAGAAAUCAAGUGGGCUGCGCAGAAAAGGAUGAGGAAUCAUAACCAUUUCGUAAAACUAGGUGAAGACUACAGGACAGCCCCAUCUGUUACUAAUAAAUACAUAGUGUUAAAACAAGUGCUGUUUGACUAAGAAGUUGAAAUGGCGAUAGAUUCUGAGAAGGGGAGAUACAAAAGAUGGUACCCUGAGUAAAAUCAAGAUAAAAGAAAGCGAUCUUCCAAAAGGAUGUGGCUAGGAAAGAACGGAUCCUUGCGACGAUCGUCGUGUAAUAUCUACUAGAGGACACAAGUCAGCUUCUUCUGGCUAUGGGAGAAAACAACCAAAUCCCUUUAAAUUAAUCCAGCUGAUGAUUUUUCUCUUUAGCCAACAAUAAACUGUCAUUCAUCAAGCAUUUAAGAAACAGUUUACCCCAUGCGAUGAACCACAAGCAGAUGGACGAGGGCCGAGCGAUGCAAGGCGACCGAGAGGUACAGGGGGCCUCAAGUGGCACUUUAAAGCAGUAUCCUCGACUGAAAUACUGGCUCAGCGAGGAAAAAGGCUGAGAUGAGAAAUGGCAAAGAAAACACACCGUUAACCUUAAAAUUGCAAAUUAAAAGCAGAAUUGCCUGUUAAAGACACUAUGAAGCUGUGUGUUGAGUCCAGGAAUUAUGACUGAAGACAAGCAGCGCUUGUCAGUUUUAGGAAGGGAUUCAAUUCGUUUGCCCUUGGCUCUUCUGACUGCCGCUAUGGAGAGAUCUUACCAUCCCCCAAAGGCUCAUUUGCUGCUUCAAACCCAAGUGAAUCAUACCAAAGCCAAAACGGAGCGACUUUUGGAUGAGAGGGCAGCAAGAGAAAAGCAAGUUCAAUGGAAAGAUGCAAGAGUGGAAUAUAGUAUUUCACAGAAUAAGUACACUGAGAUAUUCCAAAAAUAUAUGAUGAAGAUAAUACUGCUGGAAUGGACUCUUACUUGAAUGGGAAGGCCAGAAAAGCUGCAGUUGGACAGCUGGCGUCCCGAUGGAAGGAUGGACUUCUCUAGGAUGGACUAGAUCUCUAGCUCUACAGCUAUGAGUAAAGCAACAACAUUUGUGCUUCUAAGGUGGACCAAAACAAGCACCGCUCUGCCAAACCCAAGAAGCUGUUCUUGCAAGAAAGCUAGGAGUAAUACAAUGAGGGAAGAGUCUGCCUCAAGAAGAUGGAUGAGCCCCUGCCGUGCUUGGCGCUGCCUGGCUCGCACCCUUCCCUGGCGUUACCUCUGCUGCUUUUCUGUCACCGAGCACCUCCUUGUCCUCAGCGCCAUGCCCAACAGCUUGCUAAAGGAAUCCCUGGCUUCGUGCCACAAAGACCCCAUUCCUUGAAAGCUGCAACACUGUCCUAUCUCAUUUUUGAAAUUUUGAGCUGAGAGAGAAAAGA